CCUGAGAAACCCGAAAGAUCGAACGGGGAGAUUCACCGUCAGCGACGUCGGCUUUUCGGCGGUUCGUGAUGCGCGCGGCGUCCUUCGGGCGUCCGCGUCGCACGCGUCCGUUGUGUCUCCAUGUCCGGCGGCGUCGGCGUGCACUUCUCCCCUAGUAGGACGUCGCGACCCGUUGGGUGUCGGUCUACGGCUUGGGCUGUCGACUGUCACGGACGUUUCGGCGUCGCGUGGCAGACACCCAGUCGCCCGACCGGCUGCCCGGCGGUACUCGCACGGUAUCUGGCCGCAAUCGAACUGCGUCUCAGGCCCGCCGCAAGCGUGGUCAGUGUCACCGGGGUGUGCGGACCUAGCGCCGUUCCUCCGGGCCUGACCCGUUGUUAGCCGACGGUGUCCUCUGACAGGCCGUAUAUCUCACGAUAUGUGAUACCGGUCGGCGACGCUACUGCUUUGGGUACUUUCAGG
rnacentral:rRNA from 1 species